AUUUAUAUGUGACUCUGCCCCUCUGGCUUCAGUGGAUGGAAUUAAGUAGUGAAUUUUUUAUUCUAAAUAGGCCAUUCAAUGUCCCUUCUUCAGGAAUUUGGAAAAAGGAUGGAGAUGUCUCUCUGAGCUAGACUCGUCAGUGGAGGAAAUGUUACAACUCAUGGACCGUGGCGUUACCAUCUGCCUUAGGAACAGAGCAGCCCCUCUGUCUUCAAGAAAAAAGACUAGAGCACCGGGAGAAGAAAACAGAAGCAAGAUGGGUAAAGAAAUGCCUGGUUGCAGUCCCUCCUGAGACCAGGCAGCAGUUUUGGCAUAUUUUCCUUUCAGUAACCUCUCAUCCCAUACCUACGGUGGAUAGCAAUCAUUUGACCCCUGAUUCCUGCCAUAGGAAUGGGCCUGUGACCCAGGCUGACCAGCUAUUCCCUUGGACUUGGAAAUUGAACCAGGAGAAGAAAUGAUCCCCACCCCCACCUCCAAGGAGGGCCAGUUAACAGUUUAUGAAGAGACUGAUGUGGACCUCUUUAGGUAUCUGAAAUUAUGAGCUUCUAAGUGUACUUUUGUUGUCAAGCAGAGCAAGCCGACCUGAGAGUUAAACCAAAGCAGAGAAAGGAUUGCUGAAAAGUAGAAAGCUGACAUCUGUCUCUGUUCAGUUUGAACCCUUGCAUCCAGCUAUAUCUGAAGUCAGGUCUCCCAAACUUCCCAGUUAUGUGAGACCUAACUCUUUGGUUUACCUGCAAUCAUAAGGUAAAUAUUGGUAACUAGAAGUGGAGUACAGCAAGUUUCGGGCCUUGACACAAAGAACUGGGUGAAUUGAGGUAUGUAAGUGGGAAUGAGGAUUCUUCUGUCCCCAUCUAAGAACUGUACACUGGAUUGUAGGGUAACCACACAUGUUAUAUUUGGAAAAUCUGAUCAAGUCUUCUAUGGCUAGUGUUUUGGUGACCUGAAAAUGUCCAGAACUUGGAAUAAGUUGAUGAUUUUUUGAUGCUUUUAAUAACUUCGAUAAAAUUAUGGCCUUCAUCAAGCAGUUAAGCAUAUUGUUGGGAUAUGGCCCAGCAAUUCCACUCCUAGGUAUUCCAAAAGAAAUACAAACACAUGUUCACAUCAAAACUUGUACAUGAAUGUUUAUAGCAAUAUUAUCGUAAUAGCCAAGAGUAAGAAACAACCAAAUGUCCACCAACUAAUGAAUGGAUAAGGAAAAUGUAGUACAUCCACAUAAAGAAAUAUUAUCCAGAAAUAAAGGAGAAGUUCUGAUGUGUGCUACCACAUGGCCGAACCUUGACAACAUUAUGCUAAAUGAAAGAGGCCAGUCACAAAGCACCACAUUUUAAGUGAUUCCAUUGAUAUAAAAUGUCGAGAAUAGGUAAAUCUAAAGAGACAGAAAGUAGAUCAGGCCAGGGACGGUGGCUCACACCUGUAAUCCUGGCACUUUGGGAGGCCAAGGUGGGGUGAUCACCUGAGGUCGGGAGUUUGAGACCAGCCUGACCAAUAUGGAGAAACCCCGUCUCUACUAAAAAUGCAAAAUUAGCUGGGUGUGAUGGCAUAUGCCUGUAAUCCCUGCUACUCAGAAGGCUGAGGCAGGAGAAUUGCUGGAACCCAGGAAGUGGAGGUUGCAAUGAGCCGAGAUCGUGUCAUUGCACUCCAGCCUGGGCAACAAGAGUGAAAUUAUGUCUAAAAAAGAAAAAAAGUAGAUUAGUAGUUGCCGGGGACUGGGAGGGAUGAGGAAAUUCAGAGGUUAGAGCUAGGUUUCUUCGGAGUGAUAAAAAUGUUCUGAAAUGGAUUAUGGUGCUGGAUGCACAACUUUGUGAAGAUAUUAAAAAGUCAUUGAACUUUACACUUUGAAUGAGUGAAUUGCAUGGCAUGGAAAUGGUAUCUCAAUAAAACUGUUUUUUUUUUUUUAAACAAGAAGGCUUUAGCCUGAACAGCAUGCUGAAAGGGAAUGGCAUAUACCUUUGUGGAGAGGCCCCUUCUGUCUGUAAACAGCAAAAUACCUGAGAUGCCGGUAGGAUAAUUAAGAGGCAGCUAAUCCUGCAUUUGGAGAAGUCUAAGAACACUAUUCCCUACUUGAACCUGGAGCUAAAGUUAGUGAGAGGUAAGGCAGGGAGGUGGGAACUGCAGAAGAUAAAACUGGCUGGGGUUAAGUAAGCACAUAAUUAGGAAG
rnacentral:lncRNA from 1 species